rnacentral:lncRNA from 1 species
ACUUGCAUCCAACUCAGAUUCCAGGACCACUGAAACCAGCUGAGGCAUCCUGAAAGCCUAAGAUUGACCACACCAGAGGAACCAGACUGCCAUUCACAAGGGGGAGACUCCUGAACUUGCCUGACCCAAAGAUAUGAUGCACGCUUCAGACAAUGCUGAACUGAUGUGCUCAAUUAAACAAAUGCACCACUAAAAUGCUGCAUGUAAAAAGAGUAAA